UAGGGAAUCUUCCACAAUGGACGCAAGUCUGAUGGAGCAACGCCGCGUGAGUGAAGAAGGUUUUCGGACCGUAAAGCUCUGUUGUUGGUGAAGAAGGAUAGAGGUAGUAACUGGCCUUUAUUUGACGGUAAUCAACCAGAAAGUCACGGCUAACUACGUGCCAGCAGCCGCGGUAAUACGUAGGUGGCAAGCGUUGUCCGGAUUUAUUGGGCGUAAAGCGAGCGCAGGCGGAAGAAUAAGUCUGAUGUGAAAGCCCUCGGCUUAACCGAGGAAUUGCAUCGGAAACUGUUUUCUUGAGUGCAGAAGAGGAGAGUAGAACUCCAUGUGUAGCGGUGGAAUGCGUGGAUAUAUGGAAGAAUACCAGUGGCGAAGGCGGCUCUCUGGUCUGCAACUGACGCUGAGGCUCGAAAGCAUGGGUAGCGAACAGGAUUAGAUACCCUGGUAGUCCAUGCCGUAAACGAUGAGUGCUAAGUGUUGGGAGGCUUCCGCCUCUCAGUGCUGCAGCUAACGCAUUAAGCACUCCGCCUGGGGAGUACGACCGCAAGGUUGAAAC
rnacentral:rRNA from 1 species